rnacentral:tRNA from 1 species
GGCGGAAUGACAGAGUGGUUAUGUUGCAGCUUGCAAAGCUGUGUACCCUAGUUCGAUUCUAGGUUUCCGCCUCCA